AGGGUUUGAUCAUGGCUCAGAAUCAACGCUGGCGGCGUGCCUCAGACAUGCAAGUCGAACGAUUAAAGCUCUCUUCGGAGAGUGCAUAGAGUGGCGCACGGGUGAGUAACACGUAAGUAAUCUACCCUCGAGUGGGGAAUAACAUCGGGAAACCGAUGCUAAUACCGCAUAAUGCAGCGGCACCGCAAGGUGACAGUUGUUAAAGGAAUUUAUUUCGCUUGAGGAGGAGCUUGCGGCAGAUUAGCUAGUUGGUAAGGUAAUGGCUUACCAAGGCUACGAUCUGUAUCCGGUCUAAGAGGACGGUCGGACACACUGACACUGAAUAACGGGUCAGACUCCUACGGGAGGCAGCAGUCGGGAAUUUUGGGCAAUGGGGGAAACCCUGACCCAGCAACGCCGCGUGAAGGAUGAAGUUUUUCGGAAUGUAAACUUCGAAAGAAUAGGAAGAAUUAAUGACGGUACUAUUUAUAAGGUCCGGCUAACUACGUGCCAGCAGCCGCGGUAAUACGUAGGGACCAAGCGUUGUUCGGAUUUACUGGGCGUAAAGGGCGCGUAGGCGGCGUGGUAAGUCACUUGUGAAAUCUCUGAGCUUAACUCAGAACGGCCAAGUGAUACUGCUGUGCUAGAGUGCAGAAGGGGCAAUCGGAAUUCUUGGUGUAGCGGUGAAAUGCGUAGAUAUCAAGAGGAACACCUGAGGUGAAGACGGGUUGCUGGGCUGACACUGACGCUGAGGCGCGAAAGCCAGGGGAGCAAACGGGAUUAGAUACCCCGGUAGUCCUGGCCCUAAACGAUGAAUACUUGGUGUCUGGAGUCUUUAAUGCUCCGGGUGCCGUCGCUAACGUUUUAAGUAUUCCGCCUGGGGAGUACGGUCGCAAGACUGAAACUCAAAGGAAUUGACGGGGACCCGCACAAGCGGUG
rnacentral:rRNA from 1 species